ensembl:lncRNA
GAGAGCUUGUUGGCAGAACUACAGACCAGCAGAGAGGAGCUUGAACGAUUUCGAGAGAAUGUGUCACUUACCCUCAGCCAGCUCAAGACUGUAAAGGCUGAACUGAUGUCACACUUACAAGACACAAAAAGUUCCUAUGAAAAGGUGUGCUUGGAAAAUGCUGGUUUGAGACAGAAACUCAAGUCAUUUUUGAGGGAGAUCAAUUCGGCACCCUUCACAGAAUGCAGCAGUCCAGACACUAACACUUCGCAUACACAUGCAGUCACAACGAAUACUGAGAUGAUUGUCGUUUCACACCAUGUGUCUCAGCAAUGUCCUGCAGGUGUCACACAAGGAAGUGAAUGCUGCUUUAGUCAGUGUGAAGGGUUUCAGCAUCCUGAGGAGGAGCAUACAGAGAAAUCUGAAACCACAAACAAGAGCAACUUUGAACAGCCUCUGUACAAACCCCAAAACCUCUAUAAGCAGUUGAGGAGGGAGCACAGACUGUUACUGGACGUGAUGCUGGUUCUGUACAGAAGAGAGUGGUUUCUGCAGGAUGCCAUACCAUACGUCAGACGUACGCUCAGGAAGUGUGGACUGAGGCCUGAGGAUUUAGACUAA